rnacentral:rRNA from 1 species
AGUGAACGCUGGCGGUAGGCCUAACACAUGCAAGUCGAACGGCAGCACAGUAAGAGCUUGCUCUUACGGGUGGCGAGUGGCGGACGGGUGAGGAAUACAUCGGAAUCUACUUUUUCGUGGGGGAUAACGUAGGGAAACUUACGCUAAUACCGCAUACGACCUACGGGUGAAAGCAGGGGAUCUUCGGACCUUGCGCGAUUGAAUGAGCCGAUGUCGGAUUAGCUAGUUGGCGGGGUAAAGGCCCACCAAGGCGACGAUCCGUAGCUGGUCUGAGAGGAGGAUCAGCCACACUGGAACUGAGACACGGUCCAGACUACUACGGGAGGCAGCAGUGGGGAAUAUUGGACAAUGGGCGCAAGCCUGAUCCAGCCAUACCGCGUGGGUGAAGAAGGCCUUCGGGUUGUAAAGCCCUUUUGUUGGGAAAGAAAAGCAGCAGGUUAAUACCCCGCUGUUCUGACGGUACCCAAAGAAUAAGCACCGGCUAACUUCGUG